GUUUUCUUGUUCUUUUACUCUUUCUUAUUUCCUUCUCUCUUCUUCCGCCCAAGACACUCGGAGAGGGAGAGACUGAGGGAGAGAGAGAGAUGCCGACAGAGAGUGAGAGCCGGGAGAAGCACCGACCGGUGACCCAAGCCGUGGGUCCCGAUCCGUCGACGGACGACGCCGGCAGAGCGGAUGACGCCGAUGGAGAGGCGCGAUUUCCGGCGUUUGGAGGCCGUUUUUCGGUGGGUCUCCGGUAAGAGAGGAUCCGGCGAGGUAGGGAGCGAUUUCCGGCGAUUUUUGGGUGACUUUUUCCGAUGGAUUUCUGUCGAAAUCCUUGUGAUGACACAGUAAGACGGAGUCAUUUCUUUGUAAUGGCGUAGACCUCGCUAAGAGCAAUAGAUCGUUGUGAACCGACCAAACCUUUAUAUUGUAUAGUAUGCCUGAUUUUGAAAUUUAUGGCAUUGUAAAGAAUUGUUAAUAGGUAUGAAUAAUAGAAUAGGAAGUUACAAUCUAUAUGUUGUAAAUGCAUGCUUCCAUUUAAAUGUUUUUAGCACUCAA